rnacentral:rRNA from 1 species
AGAGAUGUGUGAUGACGCAUAUCAAUAAGCGGAGGAAAAGAAACUAACAAGGAUUCCCUUAGUAACGGCGAGUGAAGCGGGAAGAGCUCAAAUUUGAAAUCUUCAAGGUUCUACCUUGACGAAUUGUAGUUUAUAGAAGUGUUUUCUGUUAGUAGAGUGGCAAAAGUUCUUUGGAAUAGGACAUCAUAGAGGGUGAGAAUCCCGUAUUUGGUCAUUCUUUCUAGCUUUGUGAUACACUUUCAACGAGUCGGAUUGUUUGGGAAUGCAGUCCAAAAUGGGUGGUAAAUUUCAUCUAAAGCUAAAUAUUGGCGAGAGACCGAUAGCGAACAAGUACCGUGAGGGAAAGAUGAAAAGAACUUUGAAAAGAGAGUUAAACAGUACGUGAAAUUGUCAAAAGGGAAGCGUUUGACACCAGUGUUGUUUUUCCGAAAAUCAAUUACGAAUGUUUUAGUUUUUGAGAAGUUAUGACUUCAUCGGCUUGCUUCUCUCUUUAUGAAACUUUCUUAAUGCACUUUUCGGUUAACAAGUCAACAUCAAUUUCUUUUGUUGUAAAAGGGUAUGAGGAAGGUGGCUUUCCUUUCGGAGAAAGUGUUUAUAGCCUUGUACCUCUGCAAUCGGAGAGAUUGAGGUCUGCAGCGUAGAUCCUUCGGGGUUAGAUACAUUCGUGCUAAGUUAUAGCUUUUCAUAGACAACUUGUUGAUUAUGAUUAGUCUUGUAGCUUACUCGCUUAUGCUAUUUUACCUACGCUUAGGAUGUUGAUAGUCACAGCGUGUAC